AGAAAGGCUGUAACUCAGUGGUAGAGCAUCGGCCUUGCAUCCAGAAGGUCCCAGGUUCAAUCCCCAGCCUCUCCA